UUCUUAUUGAAUGAUGAUUAUCACAUGUCAUGUUCUGAUUGGAUGUCGAAUCCAUGGAAGAUAAAAUGCAUUGUUGUCAUUGGUCAAUCAGAACACAACACGUGACAAUCAUCAUCC
rfam:Glycine soja cultivar W05 scaffold3166_10, whole genome shotgun sequence.